rnacentral:rRNA from 1 species
GAUUAAGCCAUGCAUGUGUAAGUGUAAAUAUUUUUUGUAGAACUGCGAAUGGCUCAUUAUAUCAGUUAUAGUUUAUUUGAUGAAAAAUACUAGUUGGAUAACCGUAGUAAUUCUAGAGCUAAUACAUGAGUAAAUCCUUGUAAAAGAGGUGUGUUUAUUAGUUUUAACCAUACAUUGGUGAGUAAUAAUAAUGUUUCAUAUCGCAUGCUGAAGUAGCGAUGGAUCAUUUAAGUUUCUGCCCUAUCAGCUUUGGAUGGUAGUGUAUUGGACUACCAUG